UACGGUCGCAAGACUAAAACUCAAAGGAAUUGACGGGGGGCCCGCACAAGCAGCGGAGCAUGCGGGCUUAAUUCGACGCAACGCGAAGAACCUUACCAAGGCUUGACAUAUAGCGAAAAGUGGCAGAGAUGUCAUGUCCGCAAGGGCGCUAUACAGGUGGUGCAUGGUUGUCGUCAGCUCGUGUCGUGAGAUGUUGGGUUAAGUCCCGCAACGAGCGCAACCCUCGUUCUGUGUUGCCAGCAUUUAGUUGGGGACUCACAGGAGACUGCCGGGGUCAACUCGGAGGAAGGUGGGGAUGACGUCAAAUCAUCAUGCCCCUUAUGUCUUGGGCUGCACGCAUGCUACAAUGGCUGGUACAAAGGGCUGCGAAACCGUAAGGUGGAGCGAAUCCCAAAAAGCCAGUCUCAGUUCGGAUUGGGGUCUGCAACUCGACCCCAUGAAGUCGGAGUUGCUAGUAAUCGCAGAUCAGCAACGCUGCGGUGAAUACGUUCCCGGGCCUUGUACACACCGCCCGUCACAUCACGAAAGUCGGUAACACCCAAAGUCAGUGGCCCAACCGCAAGGAGGGAGCUGCCUAAGGUGGGAUCGGUGAUUGGGAUG
rnacentral:rRNA from 1 species